CCCGAGCGUCUCCGAGCGGCGGCUGCCGCGGUGUUCGGGCCGAGCGGCGAGCUGUCUUGCGGGUGGCUGGAGUUUUUUCUGUUUUCCAUAAUGUUUCACGGAACUUCCUUUACACCAUAUGGACAUGAACAGCAAGUGGAUAAAUGUCCUAAUGUUUUGUUGUCCCCAUAAAAAGCAUAAACACAAAUGCUCCUCCUAAACAGAUACAAAGCAGUCAACUGUGUUUGGACAUGGGUCUCUCUGACAUUUAUAAAGGGGAUCUAAGUGAAAACCAUAGAGAAGAUACUGCCCAAUCAUAAAGCCAACUUCCACUGCAGAUCUUGUGAAAAUAUGUAUCACAUGUUCCAAGCCCCAUUUCACAGCUGUAAUUAUGGCAGUCCAAUUAGUGUUUAACAGAAAAUUGGUUCUAUAAAGGAGCUCAAGAGGGAAUAAAUCAUCUAAUGAAAAUGUCAAUAUUAAUUAAAAACACAUGUUUAAGCAUAUAAUUUUGUGCAGACAUUUGGUUUUUUGUUAAUGGAUGUCAACAAUAAAUAAAUAGAAUUGCUGUAA